rnacentral:rRNA from 1 species
AUUGAACGCUGGCGGUAUGCUUAACACAUGCAAGUCGAACGGUAACAGGCCUUCGGGCGCUGACGAGUGGCGGACGGUGAGUAACGCGUAGGAAUCUGCCCUCAUAGUGGGGACAACGUGGGGAAACUCACGCUAAUACCGCAUACGCCCUACGGGGAAAGCGGGGAUCUUCGGACCUCGCGCUAUGAGAUGAGCCUGCGUUAGAUUAGCUAGUUGGUAGGGUAAAGGCCUACCAAGGCGACGAUCUAUAGCUGGUCUGAGAGGACGAUCAGCCACACUGGGACUGAGACACGGCCCAGACUCCUACGGGAGGCAGCAGUGGGGAAUAUUGGACAAUGGGCGCAAGCCUGAUCCAGCAAUACCGCGUGUGUGAAGAAGGCCCUAGGUGUAAAGCACUUUCAAUUGGGAGGAAAACCUGUCGGUCGAAUACCCGGCAGCUUGACAUUG